rnacentral:lncRNA from 1 species
CCCUGUGCAGUACAGCUGAUGAUGAGUUGUUACUCAAAGGUCUGGUAAAGCCGUGCUCAGAUCCCAAGCUUGUCAGAAAAACAGCAGGAGGCAAGCACAAAUAAUGGAAGCAAAUGUACACUGAGAACUGGGGUGUCAUGCUUCUAAGCUCCUGCCUGUCCUUGGAGAAAGGGACUGUAAAACUGCACUGACAGGUACGGCUGGUUGGAAGGAAGAAAGCCGCAGCCAGUCGUGGCGGCGCUGCGAGAGGCUGAAGAGGGCUGACGAGUGUCAUCACCAGCUGGAGCCAGGCCAACGCGCAAAGUGCAAGGCAGCACGGGGAACGGCAGCAAGCGGCCUGGGGCGUGCGAGCUAUUUUGGUAAGCUUUAUUGACCACGAAGCAUUUUCUUUUUUAUUUCUUACAAAGAUGGUUUUCAGGUAGCACUUAAUGAAUCACUUUCCUUACAACUAAACAGCAGAAAACAUUCUUCAAUCAACAGAACCCUCUCUUUGCACUGAAGAUAGUUUUCUCACGGUUGUUUUUCCUUUUUAAGUCUCAUUUCUAGCUGUUGCAUAUGCACAGUGCUCAAAAUAGCUGAGAAUUUGGAAGCCAUGUUAUGGAUUUCUAGGUUUUAAAGAACUUUCUGACUUGGAAAUGGGAUUGGAUAGAAAAAGGUAAUGAAAGGGGCAUUUUAUUGAUUUACUUCUUGAGAGUGCGAGAUCAGCAUUAGGAGUUUAUCUUUUGGGCGGGGUGGAGGGUGUCUACUCCGGACCACAGUAGGUAAUAGUUUUACAAAAAACAAUAACUGAAUGGAAAUCUAUUGUAAUUCCUGCUUGACCUACUCACUCUACAGAAGACAGCUGCCAUAAUUUUACAUGCACUUCCAGCAUCAGCUGUUGAUCUAAUCGGCUUUGGAAGGCCAGCUCUCCUCGUGACAGCUCUGAGGAAUACAGACACAUGGCAGAAGUGGCAGUGAUGUUUCAACAAGCGACACCCUUUCCUCAGUCAGCAUGAAGAAAAUGCCAGGGAAGUGAGAGAGACACCACCUUUAAAUAAGACUUAAAACCUGAACCCCCUUAAAACUGAGACACACUCUGCAGUGUACACACAAUGAAUAUGUGUAUG